AUAUCAAUAAGCGGAGGAAAAGAAACCAACAGGGAUUGCCCUAGUAACGGCGAGUGAAGCGGCAACAGCUCAAAUUUGAAAUCUGGCUUCGGCCCGAGUUGUAAUUUGUAGAGGAUGCUUUUGGUGCGGUGCCUUCUGAGUUCCCUGGAACGGGACGCCAUAGAGGGUGAGAGCCCCGUAUAGUUGGACACCUAGCCUCUGUAAAGCUCCUUCGACGAGUCGAGUAGUUUGGGAAUGCUGCUCAAAAUGGGAGGUAAAUGCCUUCUAAAGCUAAAUACUGGCCAGAGACCGAUAGCGCACAAGUAGAGUGAUCGAAAGAUGAAAAGCACUUUGAAAAGAGGGUUAAACAGCAC
rnacentral:rRNA from 1 species